rnacentral:rRNA from 1 species
AAAACCGACUCAGGUGGGCGGGGUGAGUAUCCCAAGGCGCGUGAGAGAACGCUGGUUAAGGAACUCGGCAAAUUAACACCGUAACUUCGGGAGAAGGUGUGCCCUUUGACGUGCAGGACUUUACGUCUGAAGCGUUGGGGGGUUGCAGAGAAACGGGGGUUGCGACUGUUCACUAAAAACACAGGACUCUGCGAACUCGCAAGAGGACGUAUAGGGUCUGACGCCCGCCCGGUGCUGGAAGGUUAAGGGGAGUUGUCAGCGUAAGCGAAGCAACGAACUGAAGCCCCAGUAAACGGCGGCCGUAACAAUAACGGUCCUAAGGUAGCGAAAUUCCUUGUCGGGUAAGUUCCGACCUGCACGAAUGGCGUAACGACAUCCCCACUGUCUCGACCAGCGACUCAGCGAAAUUGUAAUCGCGGUGAAGAUACCGUGUACCCGCGGCAAGACGGAAAGACCCCAUGAACCUUUACUGCAACUUGACAGUGAAGCUCGGGACAGACUGCGUAGGAUAGGUGGGAGGCUGUGAGGCCGGGAUUCUGGUCUCGGCUGAGCCAACCUUGGAAUACCACCCUGUUUGUUCUGGGCUUCUAACCCAGGCGUGUAAGCCACGCCGGGGACACUGUCUGGUGGGCAGUUUGACUGGGGCGGUCGCCUCCCAAAAAGUAACGGAGGCGCGCGACGGUUCCCUCAGGCUGAUUGGAAACCAGCCGUAGAGUGUAAUGGCAUAAGGGAGCUUGACUGUGAGACCGACAGGUCGAGCAGGUGCGAAAGCAGUCAUAGUGAUCCGGCAGUUCUGUAUGGAAGGGCUGUCGCUCAUCGGACAAAAGGUACUCUGGGGAUAACAGGCUGAUCGCGCCUGAGAGUUCAUAUCGGGGGCGCGGUUUGGCACCUCGAUGUCGGCUCAUCGCAUCCUGGGGCUGGAGCAGGUCCCAAGGGUUUGGCUGUUCGCCAAUUAAAGCGGUACGCGAGCUGGGUUUAGAACGUCGUGAGACAGUUCGGUCCCUAUCUGCCGUGGGCGUAGGAUACUUGAGAGGGUCUAACCAUAGUACGAGAGGACCUGGUUGGACGUACCUCUGGUGAUCCGGUUGUUCCGCCUGGAGCAUCGCCGGGUAGCUAUGUACGGAAUGGAUAACCACUGAAAGCAUCUAAGUGGGAAGCCAGCCUCAAGAUGAGGUAUCCCGGGGCCUUGAGCCCCCUGAAGGCCCGUCGAAGACUACGACGUAAUAGGCUGGGUGUGGAAGCGCAGCAAUGUGUGGAGCUAACCAGUACUAAUCGGCCGUGAGGCUUGACCC